rnacentral:tmRNA from 1 species
GGGGCUGACCGGUUUAGACAGCGGGUAGAAGUGGUUUGUAAGCAUGCAGUGCGUCGUUGGCCGGCACUUUAAUCUCGGUUGAUAAACAGCUAAAUGGCGAAAAUAAUUACGCUCUCGCUGCAUAGUCGAAUAACAGUAGAUUAUAGCUUUAUCCUUACACAAGGUGUUUGGACGAGACAUUACCCGAAAGCUCUGGCUUCGAAGCGUUCGAUCAGGUAGUGCAGGAAAAUCGGAGAUAGUCUGCAGGAGGUCUCGCACUGCAGAUGAAGCUGAAGAGAAUAAGGUUGCGGUUGGUAGCUUGGGUCUUGCCGCAUCACGAAAAUCAAAGCCGGGAUAAGCAUGUAGAAAGCAAAUUAAUUCCUCGUUUGGACGAGAGUUCGAAUCUCUCCAGCUCCACCU